GACGAACGCUGGCGGCGUGCCUAAUACAUGCAAGUAGAACGCUGAAGAGAGGAGCUUGCUCUUCUUGGAUGAGUUGCGAACGGGUGAGUAACGCGUAGGUAACCUGCCUUGUAGCGGGGGAUAACUAUUGGAAACGAUAGCUAAUACCGCAUAACAAUGGAUGACACAUGUCAUUUAUUUGAAAGGGGCAAUUGCUCCACUACAAGAUGGACCUGCGUUGUAUUAGCUAGUAGGUGAGGUAAUGGCUCACCUAGGCGACGAUACAUAGCCGACCUGAGAGGGGGAUCGGACACACUGGGACUGAGACACGGCCCAGACUCCUACGGGAGGCAGCAGUAGGGAAUCUUCGGCAAUGGGGGCAACCCUGAACGAGCAACGCCGCGUGAGUGAAGAAGGUUUUCGGAUCGUAAAGCUCUGUUGUAAGUCAAGAACGGGUGUGAGAGUGGAAAGUUCACACUGUGACGGUAGCAUACCAGAAAGGGACGGCUAACUACGUG
rnacentral:rRNA from 1 species